CCUUUAGUUAUUGCAAAAUGUUUAUCUAGUUGAUUCUCGUUUGUAAUUUAAUAACAAUUAAAAGAAGCUUUUAUUUACAAGACUAUAAACAAUAUAAGGAAAAUUAAAUAAAAUAGUUUAAUGAAAAUGUGAGCUCGUCAUAUAAAAAGUAAUGAAUUAAAUAAAUUCAAUAUAAAGAAAUCUUCCAAAAUCGCGCAAGUUUAAUGAAGCGGUCGUGAUUUACGCCUCGCGCUUCUUAUCGUUAUUUUAUGGUGUCCGUCCAUACAAUGUGAAGCGGAUCCAGAAUUGUUAAACAAUAAAUAUUCAUCAAGACAAUAAAAGUGCGCUAAAGCUUGAGGCAUGGACCUUUAUCUCGAUAAAAAAUCGUGGCUUCAACUGACUCAAAAGGCUCGACUUGAACUCGAAUCAAGUUGAAUUUCAGCUUUGCAAAGAAGAAAAACUUGUAGACGAUACUCUUGGGCGGCCAAUUUGUUUUUUUUUUUUGCUCCCUUAUGGGGCUUAGCGUCUCUCUUGCGUUUCUGUGUCUCAACUAUAUAUGUACAGUGGUAUCAUAUUAUGGGACAUGUAUAUAUAUGUAUAGAUAUAUUUUAUGCGUACAUACAUAAAUAUAUAGUAAAAAUAUAUUUACAUAUGUAUAAUGUAUACGCUGGCCUAGAGGUAAAGCUUAACGAUUUCAAUUUUAUUGCAGUUGAUUUAAUAUAAGUAACAACAAUACAUUUAAUUAAAGACUCAACAGCAAAAGGGAAAUGUUAAAGUUUAACCUCAUUACCAUGGUGAUGAUGAUGAUGAUGAUGAUGAUGAUGACGAUGAUGGCGAGGAUUAUGACAACGACGAUGUUGAUGCCUGAUGGUGAUGACAAGUAAUGUUAAAAAAAAAAAA